rnacentral:rRNA from 1 species
AUUGAACGCUGGCGGCAGGCCUAACACAUGCAAGUCGAACGAGUGGCGGACGGGUGAGUAAUGUCUGGGAAACUGCCUGAUGGAGGGGGAUAACUACUGUAAACGUUAGCUAAUACCGCAUACCAUCAGAUGUGCCCAGAUGGGAUGAGCUAGUUGGUGGGGUAACGGCUCACCAAGGCGACGAUCCCUAGCUGGUCUGCGAGGAUGACCAGCCACACUGGAACUGAGACACGGUCCAGACUCCUACGGGAGGAAGCAGUGGGGAAUAUUGGACAAUGGGCGAAAGCCUGAUGCAGCAACGCCGCGUGUAUGAAGAAGGUCUUCGGGUUGUAAAGUACUUUCAGCGGGGAGGCGUUACCCGCAGAAGAAGCACCGGCUAACUCCGUGCCAGCAGCCGCGGUAAUUC